UUGCUUUGGCAGUACAUAUAUUAAAAUUGGAAUGAUAAAGAGAAGAUUAGCAUGGCCCCAUGCAAGGAUGACACACAUGUUUAUAAAGCUUUCCACUUUAAA
ensembl:snRNA U6 U6 spliceosomal RNA